rnacentral:rRNA from 1 species
AACGUUGAAAAGUUAGGGGAUGAGCUGUGGAUAGGGGUGAAAGGCUAAACAAACUUGGAAAUAGCUGGUUCUCUCCGAAAACUAUUUAGGUAGUGCCUCAAGUAUUACCUGCGGGGGUAGAGCACUGUUUAGGCUAGGGGGUCAUGGCGACUUACCAAACCUAUGCAAACUCCGAAUACCGCAGAGUACAGCUUGGGAGACAGAGCACCGGGUGCUAACGUCCGGACUCAAGAGGGAAACAACCCAGACCGCCAGCUAAGGUCCCUAAAAUUGGCUAAGUGGGAAACGAAGUGGGAAGGCUAAAACAGUCAGGAUGUUGGCUUAGAAGCAGCCAUCAUU